AAAACAUUAAUUUAAUAAAAACAAAAAGUUUUCCAAUCACGCAAAUUCUCAAAUAUUAUUGGUACAAUUAUUUCAACCACAGAUGACAAGAGGACCACAUAAAAAGGUCUGUCCAAACGAAUUAACAACCACUUAAUUAAUAUUAAAUGAAUCCCACUGUUGUAAAUCGAAUCUCCUCAAUUUUUUUUUUAAUUUCGAUUAGUGAUUUAUAAAUAUAAAUUGAUAAGAUUUAUAUAAUUUUACUUAAUUUCACAAACAUAAUGAUUGUAAUAGCCCAUUUUGCCCGGGCCCGAAACAAAACCAAAAAUAAAAAAAUAUAUCAGUCUAUGUACAACGGGCCAAAACAGCCCAAUUUUUUUAAAACCUUAAACGGCCCAAUUGGGCCCAAAAAUUAAACAACAUUAGGGAACCCUAGGGUUCCCAGCCUUUCCUUGCGCCGCUACUGCCUAUGUGCACUUUCGGCGUGCACAACGCCCGAGGUCUGCCAUCGCCAGCCAAGCCUUGCACCAAAACGGCAAGCCACUCCAACGCCUGCAAAAGAAAACCUACAAACAAGGAUGAAAGAAGGACGAGCAGCACAAAAAGCAGAAACAGUAAAAGUAAUGAAAAAUGUAUUCUCUUUCGGCUUUAUAAGCCCAGAAACAAAACGAUGUAAAGGGGGGAAUUUUGUAUGAAAAGAGAUUGAAAAAAUAGAAUACAAAAAGAGGUGAUUUUUCGUUUCUUAUUAUUCUGUUCUUAUUUUUUUUUUAACUUUCAGUCUUAUAUAUUAUAUAUUAGAAAUAGAAAGAAAACUUUCUAAUAGAGGGACGGAUUCAAACAUGAAACGAAAGAAAAAGGUAGAUAAAGGAAGAGGAUAAACGAAAGCAAAGCUUUUGCACGGAUUCAAAGCCGUUUUAUUCCUCCUUUCUUUUUUUGUUUUGUUUCUUUUUUAGAAAAAAACUACAUACAUACGAGUUUUAUAUACGUCUAUAAAAAAAUUCGAGACAACUUAUCUGGGAUUUGACAGCCGUACGCGGCGGUGGCGUGGUGACGAUCGACAAACUAGCAGCGCUGAGGCAGGGGCUUGAAACCCUAACAGAAAAGAGCAUUUGAUUUAUUUAUUUUUAGUUCACAGCAGACUGAUUUUUUUUUAAAAAAAAGGUGUUGCUUUUAUAAAGUGAAAGAAACGGCGCCGUAUCAGCAAAUGGCCCAACCCGAUGAUCCGACCCGAGCGGGAUCAGAUCCGCGUAUUCUGGGUCUGUGAGGGAUAUUUUUCCUUUUAAUCCCUCGUUCUUUUCCCCUGUCUUAAUUUCAUUCGUUUAUUUUUUUAUUUACCCUAUCUAUUUUGAGCUUAUUCAUUUGGGUCCACGCCGCAGCACAGCGUUUUGGGACUGAGGAUAUUUUCCUCUUUAAUCCCCAUGUAAUCCGCAUAUUGCACUUUAACCCCUCUUCUUGUUUAUAACUCUAUUCUUUUCUUGUUAAUUUAGAUUUGAUUGCGAUUUAAUCCUUUUUUUACAUUUUUUAAUUUAAUUUAUUAACUAUUUUAUUAUUAUUUUAGUGGUACAUUCGAUCAUAUUUUCUUUAUCUUAUUAUAUAUUGUCAUUUUGAAUUUUACUUAUAUUAUUAUUAUAAUUUUAUAAUGUGUUAUUUUAUUAACUCAGCAUAAUAUACUUAUUUUUUUAUAUACUUUAUAAUGUACAUAUACAUACGUACAUUUUAUAAUAUAUAUAUAUAUACACACACACACAUAUACAUGUACAUAUUUUCAUAACUUGUUAUAUAUAUAUGUAUAUAUGCAUGCUUGUAUUUCUUUAUAUACUUUAGAAUUUAUACACGCCUAUAUAUAUUUAUAUACAUUUAUAUACAUAGUUUUUACUUUACUUACAUGAAUAUAUACAUACAUACUUAUAUUUUUAUAUUUUAUAAUUCUUAUAUACAUAUAUACACACAUACACAUACACAUACACAUACAUAUUUUUAUAAAUUAUAUAUAUAUGAAUAUAUACCUACUUAUAUAUUUUUAUUCAUAUACGUAACUAUAUAUAUAUUUACUUACACAUUUUCUUUUCAUAAAUAUAUAUAUACAUAUUUAUAUAUUCUAUAUAUUUUAACAUAUACCUUUAACAUAUUUUUAUAUCCUAUAAUUCAUGCAUGUAUAUAUCUUUAUAUGUUCUACUAUUCAUAUUUAUAUUUUGUCCACGUUCCUUUUAAUUAUUUAUUCACGUUUUCAUCAUUAUUUAAAAAAAGGGAAUGUUUUAAUUUUAUUUGCUUAUAUAUUUGUAUAAUUGAUUUGUCCUUUUUAUUUAUCCUUUUUUUGGUUGUUGUUAUUGCUCGUAUUAUUUAUGUGUACAUCAUCGUAUUUAUUUUUAUUUUGUUACACAUAUUGAUACUGUGAUUCAUUUCUACUAUCCCGAAUUAGAUUAAUUUAUCUCGACGCAUAAGUUUCAACUUUUGAAUAAGUAAAAUUUCGUGUUUAGAUUCGAGAGGAUUGAGCCCUAACGUACUGGGUUCCAAUUUUCUUCGUUGAAUCUAAAUAAUCGAGAAUGCUCUUUAAUAAUAAAAAAACAUAAAUAAAAAGCUCAUUAUCGAGAAUUCAAUAUGUUGUUUCCUAACGCAUUGGAUAUGACACGUUGUUUUCUCGAGAUGAGGAUUUUUCUAAAAAGUAAUAAAGGCAAUAGUCAAUGUUUAGAAUUUUGAGGAAUUGUGCCUUAACGUAUUGGGCUGCGAUUUCUUCAUCUGACUUAAACAAUUGAAUAUCCUUUUGAAUUUUAUUGCAUGAGUUUUUAGGACAGGCUCAUUUUUGGGGAGGUGAAAUAUCAUGCCCUAAUUCAUUGGGUGUGACAUUUUCUCUCUCCAAAAUGAGAGGGUCUUAACAUGUAAUUUGAUUUAUAUAAGUUUUUUUAAAACAAAGGAUCGUAUUUUAAAUCUCUUCAAAGUUUUCAAUUUUCGACAUUAAGACAUUAACUAAUCAACUAGGUACCAAUUUUUGGGCGUUACGAGGGUGCUAAUCCUUCUUCGUACAUAAUCGACUCUCAAACCUAUUUUUCUGAAUUUCGCAGACCAAGAGCAUCAUUUUAAUAAAUCUAAACCGUUUAUUAAAAAAAACCAUUUUACAAGGUGACCCGAUCACACCUCAUCAAAAAAGAUUGGUGGCGACUCCCGUUUUCGUUUUCAUUUUCAAAAUCCAAGUGACCCCGUUUUAUAAAAAAAAAAUGGUGUCAACAGCUUGGCGACUCCGCUAGGGACCCAAAAAAAAAGAGAGUCAAGCCACAAGUUGAUUAUUUCUUGUCUUUUUGUCGAAAAUGGAUAAUUUGGUUCAAAUUCACGAUCUUUUUGUUGCACCUAUGGAUAAUUUGGUUCAAAUCCACGAUCUUUUUGUUGCACCUAGUCUGCAUCGUUUUGUUAUAUUUGCUUUAUUUGUGUAAGUCUCGAUAUAAGUUUUGCAUAUUGCAUUUACAUGAUUGUUCGGUCAUGCCCUUCUAAGUGGGAGUGAGAAACUACGCCUUCGUGAGGUUUUCACCUCCGCAUGGGAUAGUAAAUAGCUUCCGGGAUACAUCCAUACCUAUAUCUUCGUGAGAUUUUCAUCUUCGCAUGGCCAUAGGGAAAUGUAUUCCCCUGAAUCGAACUCAGUCCGCAUGAGCCUAUAAUGGGUGAGGAUUGAGGAAUCUGCCGGUUCAGGUACCCUUACUUUAGAACCGAACCGCAUAUAAUGAGCCUUAGGAGCCUACCCUAGGUAGAAUCACAUCAAAUGCCUAGAGGUCACCUGAAAGCUUGGUUUAAAUUUACGAUCAUUUUGUAGUGUUUUGCCCGUUUUUGUUAUGAUUAUCAUUACUUCGGUUUGUAAUUACUCUAUUGGUUUGAAUUUUUGAUAUGUUUCUGCAUAUUACACUACAUAACCGCUUGAUUAUACCCUUUUAAGUGGGAGUGAGAAACUAGUCCUUCGUGAGGUUUUCACCUUCGUGCAGGAUAGUGGAUCACUUUCGGGAUACAUUCGUAUCUAUGUCUUCGUGAGAUUUUCAUCUCCGUGUAGCCAUAGGGAAAUGUAUUCCCCUAAACUGAACUUGGUCUAUAUGAACCUAUAAUGGGUGAGGAUCGAGGAAUCUGCCGGUUCAAGUACCCUCCUUUACUUUAGAGCUGAACCGCAUGUAGUGAGACCUAAGAGCCUACACUACGUAGAACCACUCUAAACCAUUAGUGGUUACCCAAAUAGGUGUUCUAUUCUUUCUUACUUACUUUUGUUUUAUACUAACCCGUUUUGUUUUGUUUUGUUUUAUUUAUGAUUGCUUUGCAUUUUCAUUAAAGAAAAGAGGUGUUGAUUCAAAUUUGAUUGCUAAAUAGAAAAGCUUGUCAUGGAAAAUGAAUUUCUUAAUAAAGUGGAAUAUAAUAUGACUGACUGAAUAUGGACUGAUCAAACACAACGAGAGAAGGCUAGAAGUUCAUGGAGGAAUAUACGACUAUGCUUCGUUGCCUGAGGAUUCAAACCGACAAAGAUUAUUCGAGAGCCGUCACGAAACUAAAGAGCAUCGCGGGGGAGCAAUGGGUCGUGGCUCGGAUCAAACAAAAAGGAGAUAGUAGAGACAAAUUUUGGAAAAUUCACAAUAUUUGAUCCUAGCAUCCGUAUAUGAAGAAGGAGAUCAAUGUCUUCGCUUGCAAUAUGAGGGCAAAGCCGCAUAUGUAAUCUGUUUUAUGUAAAAAAAUUUGUCUUCUAGAAUUGUUGUUCUAAUGUAAUUGGGUUCAGAAUCAAUACCUCUCUUUCUUUUUGCAUUCAUUCAUUUGCAUUACAUUGCAUCAUAUGCAUUAGAUUUUCACAAAAAGACCCUAAUUGAGUAAAAUUAUUUCAGCUAAUCUGGAAAACCAACACCCUUACGGUAUCUGAGCAAAAACUAAAGGAAUGGACCAAAUGUUGGAGAUAUUAGAGCAAAGGCAAAUACAAAUGCAAGCCCAGAUGCAAGAACAACUAGAAAAGAUCCAACAAGACAUGCAAGAAUCCCAAAGGAGCUUGAUGAGCCAGUUAGCACAGUUAUCGGCUAGAGAUUAAAAGAAAAACCCUGUAGUUAAUUCUGGGGAUGAAUAUGAAGACCCUACCUAUCCUCCAGGUUUCACCCUAAUAGGUAUCCAGGCCCAACCCGACACGCAUCUACAGGGGGCGCCCACUACUAAUAGACCCCAACGAUAUCAGGCCGAUACCUCGGCGCCAAUGAACUACUCGGCAGGCUCAGGUUCCAACCCAAGGAACGAUCCAACCAAUCUUGUAGGCGAAAUGGUAGAAGCAAGGGUAGAACUACCAAAGCAACUCGAAGAUCGGUAUAGGUGGUUGGAAGAAAAAUUCAAAGUAAUGGAGAAUGCUGAUUACCAUUGUGGGGUUGACGCCAAGGAUCUAAGUUUGGUCCCAGAUCUAGUACUCCCGCCGAAAUUCAAGGAUCCAGAAUUUGAAAAAUAUAAUGGGACUAGUUGUCCUGAAACUCACAUCACAAUGUUCUGUCGAAGAAUGACAGGAUACAUUAAUAACGAUCAACUAUUAAUUCAUUACUUCCAAGAUAAUCUGAUCGGGUCAGCUGCCAAAUGGUACAACUAGUUGAGCCGUGCCAAUAUCCACUCAUGGAAGGACAUGGCACAGGCUUUCAUAAAGCAAUAUGGUCACGUGGCAAACAUGGCACCUGACAGAAUUACACUACAGAACUUGGAAAAGAAGUAAAGUGAGAGCUUCAGGCAAUAUGCCCAAAGAUAGAGAGAGGUAGCGACAUAAGUCCAACCACCUCUUCUGGAAAAAGAAACCAUGUUACUUUUCGUCAACACUCUGAAAUCCCCAUUCAUUAACCAAAUGUUGGGAAGUGCUACCAUGAGCUUCUCAGAUAUGGUAAUGUCUGGCGAGAUGAUUGAAAACGCCAUAAGAAGUGGGAAGAUAGAUACGGGAGAAAGCGUCAAAGGAUCAACCCCAAAGAACAAAGAAAAUGAAGUAAGCAACCUGAGCAUGUAUAAUAAAGGAUAUCCCAAAUCGGUCACUGUGGGCCAACCUAGGGUCAUAACUGCCAACUAUCAAAGCAUUAACGUCGUAUCCAAAAAGGGGGUUGGGGAGGAGAACACACUUGGAAGUGUUUUGAAUAGUGGGACUGCGGAAGAGAUCCCUGUAUUUUUUAGAGCUAAUUCGAAGUAAUGUCCAAAAUACGCUUAUUGCUCUAAGCCUAUGGAUAAUAAGAAUACUUUUGUGAGAUAGACUUUUAUUGUUUCCAUUUCAUUCAUAAUCAUACUAUACAGAUAAAUAUUCUUAGAUUCUUUUAUUCUUUGGAUCUACUUUAGUCCUAUAACAGGUCUCCAGAUAUCAAUGAUAUGAGCGACACUGCUAUUGACUCAGAACAUUCUUUUGAGCAGGAUAUGUCUCUGGAUUAAACCUCAGGACUUUGGAGAUAACUGAGGCUGUAGCUUAUCUCCUGUUUUGUUAAAGACGGGAGAACAAGAUUCUACCUUACACAGAAUCAGUGAAAGCCAUGGCCUUUCUCUAUGUGGGGCACAGAUGUCAUAGGGCCGAUCUCACCUAAGGUUUUUUACGGUUACGAUCUCACCUAAGGUUUUUUACGGUUAUCUUUAUGGUCAUCAAUUACCUCACUAAGUAGGUAGAAGCUGCUUCAUAUGCCAAUGUCGCAAAGUCAACAGUCUGCGGAUUUUUGAAAAAUCAUAUGUCAGUAUGAAAUGCCAAAAAGGAGCAUAUCUGACUGCACUAAAAUUAAACAACGACACGAUGUCAGAAUUUUGUAGUCUGUUCAAAGUUAACACAUUUCGCCCUAAAAUGUACGGUGGAGUGGGAGCAAAAACAAAACAAAAAAAGAGUAAAAACUGCUGCAGGGGCAACACAUUGGCUUAUCGAAGUUUUGCUCAUUGAGGUCAAUAUUCCUUCUCUCCGAGUGUUGGAUCAGAUCCCGAUUGAAAAGAAAUGUUCAAAGUUAUCUGUCUUAGUCAAAUGCACCAAAAACAAAAGACGUGAGCUCACCAAAGAAGGUUCGCCCUAGAGAGUUCCAUGAAGAGGACCUAACAUCGAAGAAAAUCCUCUCCAUACAAAAAAAAACUUUAGAAGAAAGGGGAUAUCAAACUGAAAAGAACCUUAUGUGGAAGGCUUUAUCUGGAGAAGUGUUGAUUUCGACCAAAAAUGAUAGCAAGGACUUACCUGAUCUUACGAGUGCGAAUUCAAUUAAAGAAUGUUCAAAAAAAAUAGAAAAAGAAAAGAAAAGAAAAUAAGAAAAAGAAAAGAAAAAGAAAAAGGAGAGGCCAAGGUGAAAACCCACAAAGGGCACCUUGAGACCAAAUGGGUUUUGAAUUGAAAACCCAGGAAUGGGUAGUUCAAAUUUUGAUCAAAGGUGGGGUAUGCGGUGGCCUUGUCCUCUCUGAAUUAGCAAGAAGGUGAGAUGCUACAUCUUGGUGCAUCAACAAAGUCUUCUAGGACUUCUAGACACAUAUCAAGUUCAAAAGGGUCCUCAAGAAGCUUAUGCAGAGAAACUCAUGUUGUAAUAUCUGGGGCACUUGCUUUCAUCUUAUUCAUUUUGUUUCUUAGCAAAAUUUGCUAUCUUGAUUAAUUUAUUCAGUUCGAGCUUUGCUCUCAAUAAAAUUUCAUCUUAUCCAUUGUGAUAAUCUUAUUAAUUUCGUAUCUUAGCAAAAUUUGUUAUCUUAAUUAAUUUUGAGCUUUGUUCUCAAUAAAAUUCCAUCUUAUCCAUUGUGAUAAUCCUUUUCAUCUUAUUCAUUUUGAAUCUUAGCAAAAUUCGCUAUCCUUAUUAAUUUAUUUGUUUAGAGCUCUGCUCUCAAUAAAAUUUCAUCUUUCCCAUUGUGAUAAUCUUUUUCAAGCAUUUUCCAUUGAAAUAAAGAUUAAUGGACUGUUAAUAUUCAAGCAAAAGGAGUUUUCAUAUUACUGUAAAAAGUUUCUAAAUAAUACAGGAACCUGAAACAGGACUAUUGUUUAGAGCACACCAAGUUUAAAGGGUGAAAUGUCUAAGAAGGAAAAGUCUAAAUUAAGACUAUCCUUUCAGAUUUUGUUGUCCAAGCAUGGAUUGAACAAAACAACAAAAUGUCGUGUUGGUGACAAAGCUUCAAUGAACAAACGAGCAACGAUCACCGAGUGAUAAAAAGAGGUUUUUUGGAAGAGAAAGUUCUACAAUUGCGCAUAAAUAUUUGGUACGACACCCUAGGAAUGGUGUAGGAGACCAAAGAGAUUCAGAUCCUGUAUCCCUAAAUUGCAGUGGGAGGGGAUUGAGAAAGAGCCAGAUCUUAUACUCAGUGGGAGGAAGAUGGCUCGAACUUUAUGUCCUAAAAUUACCGUGGACUUAACCUUGAAGAUUGCAACGGAUUGAACUUUGAAGAUUACAGUGAAUGACAAUCCGACUAAGUAAGAAAUGAGUGUUACCAGCUGAGUAAGAUAGCAUUCUAACGUGUUGGCAAUAAAACCUUAUUGAAUAACGAGCAAUGACAACCUAACAUUAAAAAGGGAUCAUUCUGAUGACAUUCUGCAUUCAUGCAAAUAUAAUUCACACACACCUAGUUAGGAGCAUUUGAUUCGUUCUGAUCAUAACAUCCUAAUCACUAGGCAUAAUUAGGUACAUAAAAUAGAUUAUACAAGUCAUGUUCCCCAGAGAACAGAUCAAAGAAGAUAGUAGAUCUUGUCUUCCUGUAUUGGCAGUGAAGCAGAUCGAAGACACCAAUUUUGCCUCCCAAAGUUUGCAGCGGAGCAAACUGAAAAUAGCAUAUUUUGUCUUCAUGAAUUGGCAGUGAAGCAGAUCGAAAAAAAGAAGUCUUAUCUCCCUAAGUAGUAGUGAAGCAGAUCGAAAGCACCAGCUCUAUCUCCCUAAGUAACAGCGGAGUAGGUCGAAGAUUGUAGAUCUUAUCUCCCUAAACAGUAGUGGAGUAGAUCGAAAGCACCAGCCCUAUCUCCCUAAGCAGCAACGGAGUAGGUCGAAGAUUGUAGAUCUUAUCUCCCUAAGCAGUAGUAGAGCAGAUCGAAAACCACAGAUCUUAUCUCUCUGAAGUUGCAGUAGAGCAGAUCGCAUCCAGUCUUAUCUCCCUAAGCAGUAGUGGAGCAGACAGAAGAAAUCAAUCCUAUCUCUCUAAAGUUGCAGUGGAGUGGAUUAAAAAACACAGAUCCUAUCUCUCUGAAGUUACAGUAGAGUAGAUCGCAUCCAGUCUUAUCUCCCUAAGCAGUAGUGGAGCAGACAGAAGAAACUAAUACUAUCUUUCUGAAGUUGCAGUAGAGCGGAUUAAAAACCGCAGAUCUUAUCUCCCUGAAGUUGCAGUGGAACAGACUGAAAAUAGCAAACCUUAUCUCCCUGUAGUUGCAGUGGAGUAGGUUGAAGAUAUGAGUCUUAUCUCCUGACAUUACAGUGGAGCAGACUAAAACCACGAAUCUCAUCCCCCUAAAGUUGCAGCAGAGUGGAUUGAAGCAACAAGACACAGUGGACUGGAGCAAAGCUACUUGAAAAGAAAAGCAUCAAAAGAAGUCAAGACUCGGCGAGACCGGGCAAAAUUGGUCUUUCUUAGUCUUUGCUCUGUUCUCGUUGCACGACAACGAGCGAAGAGAGGCAGCUGUAAUAGCCCAUUUUGCCCGGGCUCGAAAUAAAACCAAAAAUAAAAAAUAUAUCAGUCUAUGUAUAACAGGCCAAAACAACCCAAUUUUUUUAAAACCUUAAACGGCCCAAUUGGGCCCAAAAAUUAAACAACACUAGGGACCCCUAAGGUUCCCUGCCUUUCCUUGCGCCGCUACUGCCCAUGUGCACUUUCGGCGUGCACAACGCCCGAGGUCUGCCAUCGCCAGCCAAGCCUUGCACCAAAAUGGCAAGCCAAUCCGACGCCUGCAAAAGAAAACCUACAAACAAGCAUGAAAGGACAAGCAGAACAAAAAGCAGAAAUAGUAAAAAUAAUGAAAAAAAAAAGUAUUCUCUUUCAGCUUUAUAAGCCCAGAAACAAAACGAUGUAAAGGGAGGGGGGAUUUUGUAUGAAAAGAGAUUGAAAAAAUAGAAUACAAAAAGAGGUGAUUUUUCGUUUCUUAUUAUUUUGUUCUUAUUUUUUUAUUUAACUUUCAGUCUUAUAUAUUAUAUAUUAGAAAUAGAAAGAAAACUUUCUAAUAGAGGGACGGAUUCAAACAUGAAACGAAAGAAAAAGGUAGAUAAAGGAAGAGGAUAAACGAAAGCAAAGCUUUUGCACGGAUUCAAAGCCAUUUUAUUCCUCCUUUCUUUUUUUUUGUUUUGUUUCUUUUUUAGAAAAAAACUACAUACAUACGAGUUUUAUAUAC
rnacentral:lncRNA from 1 species